CCUCAAAUGACAGCAGAUACGAGGGAUGAAAAAACAAGAAAGCAGUGAGAUAUCUGGGAAUCCUGUGCGGCAAUACUGUGCGGAAAAGCGGAAAUGAAUGAAAUGAACUUGAGUCCUGUAGGGAUGGACCAGCUGACCUCCUCCUCUGUGAGCAAUGCCCUGCCAGUCUCAGGAAGUCACUUGGGCUUGGCAGCAUCACCCACUCACAACGCCAUACCAGCACCAGGCUUGCCUGUUGCAAUUCCAAACCUGGGCCCCUCCUUGAGUUCCUUGCCCUCUGCUCUGUCUCUGAUGCUCCCAAUGGGUAUUGGGGAUCGAGGAGUGAUGUGUGGUAUACCAGAGAGAAACUACACCCUACCUCCACCACCAUACCCUCACCUGGAGAGCAGCUAUUUCAGACACAUUCUACCUGGUAUCUUAUCUUACUUGGCUGACAGACCACCACCUCAGUACAUCCAUCCCAACACUAUAAAUGUUGACAGCAAUCCAGCAUUGUCAGUCUCCAACAAUCCCUCAGCCCUGGAUCCCUACCAGCCCAGUGGCACCGUGGGGCUGGAGCCAGGGAUUGUCUCCAUGGACUCCCGCACAGUGAACACACACGGUCCUCAAAAUCUGCAUGCUAGUGACAGCCACGAGGUAGCGCUGGAUACUACAAUCACCAUGGAGAGUGUUUCGAGGGUAACCAGCCCCAUCUCUACAGAUGGGAUGACAGAGGAGCUUACAAUGGAUGACGUAGGCGGGGAUCACACGCAGAUCCCGAACGGCUCCCGCAGCCACGAACCUUUAGCCGUAGACACAGUGGGGAGUAACUUGACAUCAGAUGCUGUGGGACACGGCGGUGUCAUUCCCAUUCACGGUAGCACUUUGGAACUCCCUGUUGUCAUGGAGCCCGACCACAUUGCUGGGCGGGUGACAGGGAUAUCGGACAGCACACUAAAUGACCCCAUUCAUACUGUGGCCAUGAGCACCAACUCUGUGAGUGUGGCGCUCCCUACCUCACACAACCUCGCUUCCCUGGACUCAGUAGCCUUGCAUGAAGUGGGCCUCAGCCUGGAACCCGUGGCAGUGUCUUCCAUAAGUCAGGAAGUAGCCAUGGGGCCAAGCCAUGUCGAUGUGUCUGCAGACAAUCUUGCCUUUGUACCAUCGUCUCUGCAAAUGGAAGACUCCAAUUCCAACAAGGAGAACAUGGCAACCUUGUUUACCAUAUGGUGCACGCUGUGUGACAAGGCGUAUCCGUCAGACUGCCCGGACCACGGGCCCGUCACCUUUGUCCCCGACAGCCCAAUCGAGAGCCGAGCCAGGCUGUCCCUCCCGAAGCAGCUGCUCCUCCGGCAGUCUAUCAUGGGAGCUGAAGCGGGUGUGUGGACACGAGAGACCAUUCCUGUGAGGACUUGUUUCGGACCUUUGAUCGGGCAGCAGAGCCACUCCCUGGAGGUGGCUGACUGGACAGACAAAGCAGCCAGUCACAUCUGGAAGAUCUAUCACAAUGGUGUCCUGGAGUUCUGCAUCAUCACAACUGAUGAAAAUGAAUGUAACUGGAUGAUGUUUGUACGCAAAGCCAGGAACCGGGAAGAGCAGAACCUGGUCGCUUAUCCUCAUGAUGGGAAAAUUUACUUCUGCACCUCUCGGGACAUCCCCCCUGAACACGAGCUUCUGUUCUAUUACAGCCGGGACUAUGCACGACAGCUUGGUGUCCCUGAGCAUCCAGACGUGCACGUCUGCCACUGCGGGAAGGAAUGCGCUUCCUACGCCGACUUCAAGGCCCAUUUGAGCAGCCAUAUUCACAACCACCUCCCCAGUCAGGGGCACAGCAGCAACCACGGGCCAGGCCACGGCAAGGAAAGGAAGUGGAAGUGCUCCAUGUGUCCCCAGGCUUUCAUCUCCCCUUCCAAGCUGCACGUGCACUUCAUGGGGCACAUGGGCAUGAAGCCGCACAAGUGCGAUUUCUGUAGCAAAGCUUUCAGCGAUCCAAGCAACUUACGGACACACCUCAAGAUCCACACAGGUCAGAAGAAUUACCGCUGCACCCUCUGUGACAAAUCCUUCACGCAGAAGGCUCACCUGGAGUCGCACAUGGUCAUCCACACUGGGGAGAAGAACCUCAAGUGUGAUUACUGUGAGAAGCUCUUCAUGCGGAGGCAGGACCUCAAGCAGCAUGUCCUCACUCACACACAAGAACGGCAGAUCAAGUGCCCCAAGUGUGACAAACUGUUCCUGAGGACAAAUCACCUGAAGAAGCACCUCAAUUCACAUGAAGGAAAGAGGGACUAUGUCUGCGAAAAAUGCUCCAAGGCUUAUCUGACCAAAUAUCACCUCACUCGACACUUAAAAAUAUGUAAAGGCCCCACAUCCAGUCUGUCAGCCCCAGAGGAGGAAGAGGAGGAGGAUUCAGAGGAGGAAUUAAUAGACUCCAUGAGGACUGAAGACUGUAGGAUUAACAAUGGAGUCUAUUCAACAGGUGAUGUGCUCUCUGGACACAAAUGAAGAAGAGAGGGAAACUUUCUUGAGUAUUAGGGAAGGGAAAAAAACCCCUCUUCCUUCUUUCCUCAGUCACCAGUGUAUGUCAGGUGAGGAGUUCUCCUUCUGUUUUUGUCUCCACACUACCACCACUUAAUAUAAUCUGUAGCCAGAACACUGAACAAGACUGGAUCGUGCACGUACAAGCGAGGAGUUGCUAAGAAGGAAAUGUGAGGCAAGAUUUCUGUCACACACGCUGUGCAUACUUCUCCAAAUCACUCAGAUGCAUCCAUCCAGUGCCGGGACAUGUGACACGCCUCGCAUAGCCCUUCGAGCAAAAGAGCCACGAACCAGAAAUGUAGCUGAGAGA